rnacentral:tRNA from 1 species
GGACGUGGCUCAGCUGGUAGAGCAUAACCUUGCCAAGGUUGGGGUCGCGGGUUCGAAUCCCGUCGUCCG